AUUGAACGCUGGCGGCAGGCCUAACACAUGCAAGUCGAGCGGAUGAAGGGAGCUUGCUCCUGGAUUCAGCGGCGGACGGGUGAGUAAUGCCUAGGAAUCUGCCUGGUAGUGGGGGAUAACGUCCGGAAACGGGCGCUAAUACCGCAUACGUCCUGAGGGAGAAAGUGGGGGAUCUUCGGACCUCACGCUAUCAGAUGAGCCUAGGUCGGAUUAGCUAGUUGGUGGGGUAAAGGCCUACCAAGGCGACGAUCCGUAACUGGUCUGAGAGGAUGAUCAGUCACACUGGAACUGAGACACGGUCCAGACUCCUACGGGAGGCAGCAGUGGGGAAUAUUGGACAAUGGGCGAAAGCCUGGUCCAGCCAUGCCGCGUGUGUGAAGAAGGUCUUCGGAUUGUAAAGCACUUUAAGUGGGGAGGAAGGGCAGUAAGUUAAUACCUUGCUGUUUUGACGUUACCAACAGAAUAAGCACCGGCUAACUUCGUG
rnacentral:rRNA from 1 species